rnacentral:lncRNA from 1 species
UGAACAUUUGAAGGAGGAAGUCCUGGUCAAGGAGGCCAUUUAGGAGAACAGAGGCCACAACACAUGUGAGUCCCUCAGCGAGAGUGAGCAGUCCUGCUGCCCCAGACCUACACCACGGCCUGGACCUGCCCUCAGCCUGGGCAGGUUCUUCCCACUGGAGCGCACUUCCGGCUCACACCCAGGGGACCCUCAGUCUCCUGGGCCACCUAACUGACCUACUGGGCACUCACCCGUGGGAUCUGAGACUGCCAGGAGGCCUGCACUGCUCACACUCCAUCAGGGCCUGGCCCGGCCCCUUGGGGUAAGCGGCCAAACAAUCAUUUUGUCCUGGGGGGCUGCCACUGCCCUGUGGGGCUCCCAGACUUGCCAGCACAGGUAGCGGGAUGGAAGGCAGCACCCUGCUCUGCUCUUGGCUCUCGACCCAGCUCCUGAAAACAGCCAACUGCAGUCCCUUCCUCUGCCUGUGGACAGUUUCACACGUGGUUACAGAACUGCUAAUAGGGAUUAAUAAAGAAAAUGGCCACACACGUGAGACUGGCAGGUUCCAAAGGCACCAAGGAUUCCCCACCAACACUGCCUCUUAAAGGCCCGACUUUCCCCCUCCCUCUCUGCCCCUCACUGACCAGAGAUAAAGACCUCCUGGAACAAGAGGGGACAUUGUGACUGUGAGACCACUGGGGCCCUUGGAUUGCCACCUGCUGGUGUGCAUGCCCAACCCUGCAGUCAGGUGGUGACACUCAGACCCCUGCCCCAGGGCCUCGUAGAGGCUGACAGACCCCACGUGGACGGCUCCUGCUUUGCCACACGUGUUAGUCUGAGGAGCGCUUUUGCCUCUAACAGAAUUCCUGCAGUGACCUCUUGUGGUUCCUGUCAAAGAAACCUCACUGUUGCCACUUCCCCUCAUCUGGUGUAAAAUCGUCUAAGAUCAUCUGAGGACAACAAUGUGAGAGAGAGCAAACUGACCAGGGGUGCCAGGGUGGACAGGGCCCACUGCUGGGGCAGAGCAGGGGAGCCUCCCAGCACUGGUUUGUGAAGAGGGCUCUGUGAGACGAAGGUGGUCUCCACGGCCCCAUCAGUACCAG